CAAGCACUCUUCUAGCCCAGAGAAGCCUGUUCCAGGACGGGCUCUUUCAGGAGCAGCUAAAGUAAGGGGCCAUGUCCACCAUGUGAUAGAAAGACAAGAUGGUCCUGAAAUUCUCUGCGUCCAUUCUUUGGAUUCAGUUGGCAUGGGUGAGCACCCAGCAGCUGGAGCAGAGCCCUCGGUUUCUAAGCAUCCAAGAAGGAGAAAAUCUCACUGUGUACUGCAACUCCUCAACUCCUGUUUUUUCCAGCUUACAAUGGUACAGACAGGACCCUGGGGAAGGUCCUGUCCUCCUGGUGACAGUAGUUACGGGUGGAGAAGUGAAGAAGCUGAAGAGACUAACCUUUCAGUUUGGUGAUGCAAGAAAGGACAGUUCUCUCCACAUCACUGCGGCCCAGCCUGGUGAUACAGGCCUCUACCGCUGUGCAGGAGCACAGAAACACACCUCUUGUCUUUGGAAAGGGCACAAGACUUUCUGUGAUUGCAAAGGCCUGAGUCAAGGUUAUUGCAAUAGCACUAAACACUGUGUAACACCAAUGCAGGCAAAUUAACCUUUGGGGAUGGGACUACGCUCAUUGUGAAGCCAAGUA